rnacentral:rRNA from 1 species
UGCAGCAGGCGCGAAAACUUUACAAUGCUGGAAACAGCGAUAAGGGGACCUCGAGUGCCAGGUUACAAAUCUGGCUGUCGUGAUGCCUAAAAAGCAUUGCAUAGCAAGGGCCGGGCAAGACCGGUGCCAGCCGCCGCGGUAACACCGGCGGCUCGAGUGGUAACCGUUAUUAUUGGGUCUAAAGGGUCUGUAGCCGGCCGGAUAAGUCUCUUGGGAAAUCCAGCAGCUCAACUGUUGGGCUUUCAGGAGAUACUGUCUGGCUCGAGGCCGGGAGAGGUGAGAGGUACUUCAGGGGUAGGGGUGAAAUCUUGUAAUCCUUGAAGGACCACCAGUGGCGAAGGCGUCUCACCAGAACGGACCUGACGGCAAGGGACGAAAGCUAGGGGCACGAACCGGAUUAGAUACCCGGGUAGUCCUAGCCGUAAACGAUACUCGCUAGGUGUCGGCCACGGUGCGACCGUUGUCGGUGCCGUAGGGAAGCCGUGAAGCGAGCCACCUGGGAAGUACGGCCGCAAGGCUGAAACUUAAAGGAAUUGGCGGGGGAGCAC